rnacentral:sRNA from 1 species
CCCUAGCCCUGAUAGAAGCGGCAUCCUUUUUGUUUUUUCUUUAAAAACAAAAAGAUAUAGCGGAUAGCAGGAAAUAGC